AUGACCCCCGGGUGGGCGUGGCCAAGGUCUGCAAAGCUGGAAGUGCAAGUUGGAGCCAAGUGAAGACAACACAAGAGCGUAAGCGAGGGCGCCAGUCUUCCUUUUUUGUUUUUGCAUCAGAGGGAGUCACAACAACACACGACAGGCAACAUGAGCAGGUGUUUGAUCAGCCAGGCGGAGGUGCAGAGUUUCAUCGAGAGGUGCAUGAUGGCGGUGGGCACCAAGCAGCAUCACGCCCGCAGCCUGGCCCAGGUUCUGGUGGAGGGUGACCACAGGGGUCACUACAGCCACGGACUCAACAGGAUGGAUAUGUACGUGAAAGACGUUAAGACGGGUAUCUGCGCCAAGGAUGGGGAGCCUGUCGUGGAAAAGGAGAGUCCAGCCACGGCCCUCGUGGACGGGCAGAACCUCCUGGGCCCUGUGGUGGGGAACUUCUGCAUGAAUUUGGCCAUCAAGAAGGCCAAAGAAGUCGGGAUCGGCUGGGUGGUGGCGCACGGCUCCAACCAUUACGGCAUUGCCGGCCACUACGCCAUGCUAGCUCUGAAGGAGAACAUGAUCGGAAUGUCCUUCACCAACACGUCCCCUCUGGUGGUCCCCACACGUGGAAAAGAGUGCACCUUAGGCACCAACCCCCUCAGCGUGGCAGCGCCGUCCAAAAAUGGCGACAGCUUCGUUUUGGACAUGGCCACAUCGGCGGUCGCCCUUGGAAAAGUGGAGCUGCACGACCGUCGUGGCGACACUAUCCCAGAGGGGUGGGGCUGCGACCCCAAGGGCAAGCUCACCACCGACCCUAAGCAAGUUCUGAACGGAGGAGGCUUGGUUCCCAUCGGUGGCAGCGAGGCCACAGGAGGCUACAAAGGUUACGGCCUUGGUAUGAUGGUAGAAGUGUUCUGCGGUAUCCUGGCCGGAGCCAAAUACAGCAAACACAUCCGCACAUGGAAAGUGACCGACAGGGUUGCAGAUUUGGGUCAGUGUUUCGUGGCAAUCAACCCGGAGAACUUUGCUCCCGGGUUCACCGACCGUAUGGGGGACCUUCUGGCCAUCCAUAGAGAACUGGACCCUGCUGAUGCCGACGCUCCUGUUCUGGCCGCCGGAGAUCCCGAGAGGGCCAACAUCGCCAAGUGUGAGAAGAUGGGCGGCAUCCCAUAUCAUAUCAACGUCGUCAAAUAUAUGAAUGAAUGUGCCAAGAGAGAGGGCGUCAGUCCUCUGCUGCCUUGUGAUAAAAUCGUUCCAGAGUAGAAGCGACAAGUUGGAGAUCAUCUCGGCUUCUUCAGCCUGGUUGGUGUUUGUCAAUAGCGUGACCAAAUGAAAGCAAUUCUUUAACUAAUGACAAAUGAGGAUUGUGUCAAAAGUCGGCUGUUACUUUGAGCUCAAAUUGUUCAGCUUGCUUCUCUUUGCAUGUUUUUCUUUACCGAUUGUGCAGACGAAACGUUGCCUUAACACCAAGUCCAGCCGAUGAUGUCAAUCAGUUGACAACUCAGUGAACAAAAGCGGUUCGAAAUGAGUGAAUGGACUGUGAAAGCGGCCAUGUGAUGUUUGGAAGACAGAAUUUUUUUUUUAAUUGAAUUGGGAACUGACUUGAUAUUUUUAUAUGUAGCACAAGCGAGCCUUGUCAAGAUAAGCGGUUUAGAUAAAGGAUGGAUGGAUGGAUGGAUGGAUGGAUACAACAAACUAUAAAAGUAUUUUCCUGCCAGCAAUAUUUCAAGUGCCUUAUUAGUCCCAAUAAAAAGUCAUAUCAGA